UACGUAGGGACCAAGCGUUGUUCGGAUUUACUGGGCGUAAAGGGCGCGUAGGCGGCGUGUUAAGUCACUUGUGAAAUCUCUAAGCUUAACUUAGAAACGGUCAAGUGAUACUGAUGUGCUAGAGUGCAGAAGGGGCAACCGGAAUUCUUGGUGUAGCGGUGAAAUGCGUAGAUAUCAAGAGGAACACCUGAGGUGAAGACGGGUUGCUGGGCUGACACUGACGCUGAGGCGCGAAAGCUAGGGGUAGCAAACGGGG
rnacentral:rRNA from 1 species